rnacentral:rRNA from 1 species
UACGAGUGCCCCAAGCGUUAUCCGGAAUCAUUGGGCGUAAAGGGUGUGUAGGCGGUUGUGUUAGUCUUCUGUUAAAUUCUUCGGCUUAACCGGGGGCAUGCAGGGGAAACGGCACAACUAGAGGAUGCGAGAGGUGAAUGGAACUCAUGGAGUAGGGGUGAAAUCCGUUGAUAUCAUGGGGAACACCGAAAGCGAAGGCAAUUCACUGGCGCACUCCUGACGCUGAAACACGAAAGCGUAGGUAGCGAAUGGG